rnacentral:tRNA from 1 species
GCGCCGGUGGUCUAAUGGUAUGAUGGCGGCCUUCCAAGCCGCUCGCCCGGGUUCGAUUCCCGGCCGGCGCA